rnacentral:other from 1 species
CGGGUUCUGCGCCUCUCGUGAUCGGGUUCGCUUCCAGUGGCCUAUACCGACUCCGAGGGAGCUGGCUCUGGCCGGGUCGUGGCCCGGUUACCUGGUGCCCACCUGUACACACAGGUCCUCGGGAAACGAUCACCCACACGGUUGCCGUGGUUCCCGC